UGCGUAGGUGGCAAGCGUUGUCCGGAUUUACUGGGCGUAAAGGGUGCGUAGGUGGAUAUUUAAGUGGGAUGUGAAAUACCCGGGCUUAACCUGGGUGCUGCAUUCCAAACUGGAUAUCUAGAGUGCAGGAGAGGUAAGUGGAAUUCCUAGUGUAGCGGUGAAAUGCGUAGAGAUUAGGAAGAACACCAGUGGCGAAGGCGACUUACUGGACUGUAACUGACACUGAGGCAUGAAAGCGUGGGGAGCAAACAGG
rnacentral:rRNA from 1 species